GUCUCAAUAGCUCAGUGGUUUGAGCGCUGGCACGGUAUGUCAGAGGCCCUGGCUUUGAGUCCCGGUUUAGACU
rnacentral:tRNA from 1 species